rnacentral:rRNA from 1 species
UGAACGCUGGCGGCAUGCCUUACACAUGCAAGUCGAACGGCAGCACGGGUGCUUGCACCUGGUGGCGAGUGGCGAACGGGUGAGUAAUACAUCGGAACAUGUCCUGUAGUGGGGGAUAGCCCGGCGAAAGCCGGAUUAAUACCGCAUACGAUCUACGGAUGAAAGCGGGGGACCUUCGGGCCUCGCGCUAUAGGGUUGGCCGAUGGCUGAUUAGCUAGUUGGUGGGGUAAAGGCCUACCAAGGCGACGAUCAGUAGCUGGUCUGAGAGGACGACCAGCCACACUGGGACUGAGACGCGGCCCAGACUCCUACGGGAGGCAGCAGUGGGGAAUUUUGGACAAUGGGCGAAAGCCUGAUCCAGCAAUGCCGCGUGUGUGAAGAAGGCCUUCGGGUUGUAAAGCACUUUUGUCCGGAAAGAAAUCCUUGGCUCUAAUACAGUCGGGGGAUGACGGUACCGGAAGAAUAAGCACCGGCUAACUACGUGCCAGCAGCCGCGGUAAUACGUAGGGUGCGAGCGUUAAUCGGAAUUACUGGGCGUAAAGCGUGCGCAGGCGGUUUGCUAAGACCGAUGUGAAAUCCCCGGGCUCAACCUGGGAACUGCAUUGGUGACUGGCAGGCUAGAGUAUGGCAGAGGGGGGUAGAAUUCCACGUGUAGCAGUGAAAUGCGUAGAGAUGUGGAGGAAUACCGAUGGCGAAGGCAGCCCCCUGGGCCAAUACUGACGCUCAUGCACGAAAGCGUGGGGAGCAAACAGGAUUAGAUACCCUGGUAGUCCACGCCCUAAACGAUGUCAACUAGUUGUUGGGGAUUCAUUUCCUUAGUAACGUAGCUAACGCGUGAAGUUGACCGCCUGGGGAGUACGGUCGCAAGAUUAAAACUCAAAGGAAUUGACGGGGACCCGCACAAGCGGUGGAUGAUGUGGAUUAAUUCGAUGCAACGCGAAAAACCUUACCUACCCUUGACAUGGUCGGAAUCCCGCUGAGAGGUGGGAGUGCUCGAAAGAGAACCGGCGCACAGGUGCUGCAUGGCUGUCGUCAGCUCGUGUCGUGAGAUGUUGGGUUAAGUCCCGCAACGAGCGCAACCCUUGUCCUUAGUUGCUACGCAAGAGCACUCUAAGGAGACUGCCGGUGACAAACCGGAGGAAGGUGGGGAUGACGUCAAGUCCUCAUGGCCCUUAUGGGUAGGGCUUCACACGUCAUACAAUGGUCGGAACAGAGGGUUGCCAACCCGCGAGGGGGAGCUAAUCCCAGAAAACCGAUCGUAGUCCGGAUUGCACUCUGCAACUCGAGUGCAUGAAGCUGGAAUCGCUAGUAAUCGCGGAUCAGCAUGCCGCGGUGAAUACGUUCCCGGGUCUUGUACACACCGC